rnacentral:rRNA from 1 species
CAUCGCCCGUCACUCUCGUUAAGUUUAAGGCGAGAUAAGUCGUAACAAAGUAGUUGUACCGGAAGGUGUAGCUA